GACGAACGCUGGCGGCGUGCUUAACACAUGCAAGUCGAACGGAAAGGCCCUGCUUUUGUGGGUUGCUCGAUUGGCGAACGGGUGAGUAACACGUGAGUAACCUGCCCUUGACUUUGGGAUAACUUCAGGAAACUGGGGCUAAUACCGGAUAGGAUCUCCUGCUGCAUGGUGGGGGUUGGAAAGUUUCGGCGGUUGGGGAUGGACUCGCGGCUUAUCAGCUUGUUGGUGGGGUAGUGGCUUACCAAGGCUUUGACGGGUAGCCGGCCUGAGAGGGUGACCGGCCACAUUGGGACUGAGAUACGGCCCAGACUCCUACGGGAGGCAGCAGUGGGGAAUAUUGCACAAUGGGCGGAAGCCUGAUGCAGCAACGCCGCGUGCGGGAUGACGGCCUUCGGGUUGUAAACCGCUUUCGCCUGUGACGAAGCGUGAGUGACGGUAAUGGGUAAAGAAGCACCGGCUAACUACGUG
rnacentral:rRNA from 1 species